GAAUCUGCUUUCUGCUGGACUGAAGAGUCCUCAAUGCAAACUGGAAACUCUCAGGUCAGGUUUCCUCCUGAUUGAGCUUUAUCGUUGUUUGAAUGAAAUUGUCCAAAGUUGGUACACUUUUCCUUGUUUUAUACAUUUUUCUGACUCCAGGUUAUCAGGCUGUCUGGUCACAGAAGGAAGUUGUGCUUCUCUGGCCUCAGCUCUGACCUGCAACCCCUCACACCUGAGAGAGCUGGACUUGAACUACAAUCAUCCAGGAGACUUGGGAAUAAAACUGCUUUCUGCUGGACUGGAGGAUUCUCUAUGGAGACUGGAUACACUGAGGUAUAACCAGACAGUUACUGGGUCAGAGACAACUAAAAAUAUAUUUGGUUUCUGCUGCCUGAGGUCUUCACUUUGCAGGUCAUCAUUGUGGACCAUCUUUCUGAAGGACUCUUGGAUGUGAACUGUGUUGUCCUGGAUAGUGGCUCUAAUGCUCACUAGUUCUCAGCCUCUCUCCUUCCUCUUAGUGUAGACCCCAAGGGUCCUAGAUUUAGGGUAAAAAUCUCUGUUUGAGCAUUUUGAGGCGCUUACUUGUCUUGAUGUCAGUGGUCUCUAUUUCUUCCUUUGGCCAGGCUAUGCAUGCCAGCAGGGUAUCUGAUAGCUGGCAGAGCAAAGGUGUUGAUGGCUUGGAUCUUGUUCCAGCUGACAUAGAGUUUGAUGUCAUCCAUGUGGAGGAGGAAAUAAAUAAGUAAAAAACUAACCCUCAAACAGUUCAUGAGAAAUGACUUUAAAUCAGAUUGAUGUGUGUCUGUUAUUCUGUCUCCUCCUCCACACAAUAACAGCAGAUAUUUGUCUGCUACAUUGGGCAUCUGGAUGAGCAUCUUCUCUGAACGGUCCAACUCUAAAAUGUGUUGCUGAACUGUAGGUUUGUCUUUCAGUCUAAAUGUUCCUCUGUUCAACAGCUUUUAGUUUUCUUCUGAGAACUGUCACAUUGUCCUAAAUUGCAGAAACUCAUCCCUCUGCCUCUGGUCUCGAAGGAGGAUGUGAUGGUUGAUAUUUUGAAGGAGUGGAGCUGGAAACCUUUUGAAUAUGACAAAACAUUUUUAAAUCCUCUUUAUGGAGGACCACAAGCAUCGCAGAAAUUAAAAAAGUUAUUGUACUAUUAAAACAAGAAUUCAUAAACUGGUUUCCAAAUUCAGGAGUUCAUCCAUGACCAAAUAGGGGAAAUAUAAAAAGAUUCUACAAAUGAAACUUUAAAACUGGACAAAAGUUUAUUCUUUAAAAAUACAUGAAUGCAUUCCUUAAUAAAUAGUUUAAAAAUCAGUUUGAAAAUGCAAUUUUAAAAAAGAGAAAUAAAAAAGUGAACUGACAAUUAUCAACCAUUUAAAGGACAAUUCCUCUUUUCAAUUUAAUUUCCAUUUCCUGGCUGCUUUUCUUUUUUUCCUGUAGCUAAUCGAUUAGCAAAGUCUUUGAUUUUUUUUUUGCCCUCUCCAUUUUUCCUUGCCUUACACUUUGGGCCUUGAGCUGGUAAACCAGAUAAAACAAUGCAGAUAAGUCAUGAAACAAGCUCUCUGAUUGGUUAUAACCUGGCCCAUCACAUGCAGAUGUCUGCAGGGAGGUGAAGAUGAUGGAAGAUGAGGAAGAAUAGACCUUAUCCAGUGUUUCAGGUGGAAAGAGGUCCAAACUUUAAUAUUCUGACGCUGUGGUCAUUUCACAGCUCCCUGAUUGAUGAACAGACACACAGACUAAAAACAGAGAUGAUCAGGAGAGAGAUGGGUUCAUAUUUGAAGUUCAAAACACAUUUGACAGUCCUUUAGCCCACGUCAGAACACAGAGAAGAUGUUUUAUUACAUCUGGUGUUACAAGAUGAAGGUUCACGUCUAGUUUAAUGAUUAGAGCAGAACAACAUUCAAAUCUCCUCCAGAUCCUUUAUUUCAUGCAUCCAUACAGACCAGGAUCAACUCUCCUGGCUGAUAUGGGAAAGUCUACUCUUCUUGAUUUUUUUGCUCUCUUUGUUUGGUGAACCAUCAAACAAACCCACAGUGACUGGAGCUAAAUUUUACUUCUGAUUGUAAGUGAUUCGGCACAUCUUUGAACCCCUUUACUAUUUGACAUGUGCCUGCACAAUCAAAUCAAACAUCAGCACGGAGUAAGAUUUCCGAGUUUCGUUUGAUCUUUCGGAACCACAUCUGGUUAAAUUUUAUUUUUUUUUGUCAGUUAGACAAAGGUGGACACAUGCAGAACUUAUAUUUGUAUGUUGUUUCCUCCUCCUCCAUUUUUGCUGGCGCACUACCUGCAAAUUCUACCGUGAGUGUGCAUCAGUGCAGACUCGCUGUUUAGAGGCUGAAUGGUCCACUUUCCCUGGGCACUCUCUGGUUUGGGGCAGCCUUCAAUGUGGCGGAGCCUUUGCUGGGACGUGCAAACGGAGGGGGAGUGUGUAGGGCUAGUGUGUAGUGGGCAGUUUGGGAUUGGGCCCUCCUUUAUACAUCCACCCUCAGUCAGAAACAUGGGCUCAAAGUACUGUUUGCAUAAGUGGGUUCAAAGGAGAUCAAAUAGUCUUCAUUUAGCUUCAUCAGCUGAGCUCUGAUGCUUUACUGGCACAACAUUCAGUGAGAGCAGCAGCAGCCCUUUCAAACAUGAUCAGGUAAGCUAAGGGGCUGUUUGAGGACAUGUACUGGGUUUGCUCCACUUUCUGUCCAUCCCAAACUGCAGGAAAUCCACCUGCUGUUCCAGGUGUUAUGCUUCUACUCCCUCUGCUCUACUCUGAAUGAUCCAAGAAGAGGCUCACACACUCACAUGAGUUCAUCUAAGAGCUUUCAUUUCAUCUUCAUUCAUAUUUAGAAGAAGAGAGCCCCCUACUUCAUCUCUCUAUCUUCAGACAAGGUUUCAAGCCUAUUUAGAAAGAGCUUUUUAGAUUGCAGUGUGGAGAGCUGUCCUAAAAGAACAAAUGAAUGUCUUUUUCUAAAGGGUCCAAAUCAAGUCUCCAUGUUGUAGGACAGACCGACAGCCAGCCUUUGCUGUUUGAAUCUUGUUGUUUUUUUUCUGGGAGUUUCUGUCAGAAAGACUCAGAAAAAGGAGCAGAGUGAUGGAGGCUGUUGGCUCAGAUGAGUUUCAGCCUGUUUGUCUGUCACAGGGACAAACUGAGGAGCUCUGCUUCAUGUUGGACAGCAGGUAGGACUCAUGUUGGGCACUCAAUCAUUCUGACUGUGUUUCUUCCUCUAGGGUGGACCAUAGUGGAGAGCAGAGAUUAAAACCUGGUCUGAAGAAGUGUAAGUGUGGAAUCAGUUUGACUCAUGAUGACCAAACAGCAGACUGUCAGCUAACAAAGAAGAAAGCCUUCAGGUGUGUCUGAUGAUAACCUGCUGCUGUGUUGUGUCUUUUUCUCUCUGUCAGAUUUCUGUGAACUCACACUGGACUCAAACACAGCACACAUUGAGCUCAGACUGUCUGAAAAUAACAGGAAGGUGACAUAUGUGGGAGACUUUCAGUCAUACCCUGAUCAUCCAGACAGAUUUGACUUCUGGGCUCAGCUUCUGUGUAGAGAUGGUCUGACUGGUCGCUGUUACUGGGAGGUGGAGUGUAGAGGAGAGGUCAAUAUAUCAGUGAGUUACAGAGGAAUCAGAAGGAAAGGAAGCAGCCGUGACUGUGAGUUCGGAUUUUAUGGUCAGUCCUGGAGUUUGAUCUGCUCUGAUGAAGGUUACUCUGUCUGUCACAGUGACACAGAAAUUGACCUCCAUCUCCCCUCGUCCUCUGUCUCUGACAGAGUAGCAGUGUAUGUGGACUGUCCUGCUGGCACUCUGUCCUUUUACAGCGUCUCCUCUGACACACUGAUCCACCUCCACACCUUCAAUACCACCUUCACUCAACCUCUCUAUCUUGGAUUUGGAUUUAGACUUUGGUCUCAUGGUUCCUCAGUGUGUUUGUGUUCUGUGUAGGAGGGGGAGUCUCCUCCUCUCUACACAAACAUCAUAAACACAAACAGCAGCUGAAGAACAGUUGACCCUUUGCACAAACACAAACUUCAGCAAACAAACUCUUCUUACAGCGCAGUCUCACUCAAAAGCGUGAAAUAACUACGUUGGUCCACUGCGAAAAACGUAGCCAUUUCACAAAAACA
rnacentral:lncRNA from 1 species